AAGACCUUGCGCUUUUGGAGCGGCCGAUGCCUGAUUAGCUUGUUGGUAAGGUAAAAGCUUACCAAGGCUUCGAUCAGUAGCUGGUCUGAGAGGACGACCAGCCACACUGGGACUGAGACACGGCCCAGACUCCUACGGGAGGCAGCAGUGGGGAAUUUUGGACAAUGGGGGCAACCCUGAUCCAGCCAUGCCGCGUGAGUGAAGAAGGCCUUCGGGUUGUAAAGCUCUUUCAGCCGGAACGAAACGGUUACGGUUAAUACCCGUGACCACUGACGGUACCGGAAGAAGAAGCACCGGCUAACUACGUGCCAGCAGCCGCGGUAAUACGUAGGGUGCGAGCGUUAAUCGGAAUUACUGGGCGUAAAGCGUGCGCAGGUGGUUUUGUAAGUCAGAUGUGAAAGCCCCGGGCUCAACCUGGGAACU
rnacentral:rRNA from 1 species